UAUUUCAAUGUUUGUUGAAUUGUUUCGAAGUUCGAUUGAAUUGGCAACACUACUCCCUGAUUCGAACAUUUUUUGGUUAAUUUUCGUAUACUCAUGAAUGGGCCUUUAAUCUCUUUGGGUUUCUAGAACAACGUGGAAAUUGGAAUUGAAAUUUUGUGUGAACUCCAAUUAUGGCCUUCUUUUUUGGGUUACUGGAUUUGAAUUGGA
rnacentral:lncRNA from 1 species